AUUCUCAUCGCGCUAUUAGCUACGAUGGGCCGUGCCGCAGCGGAACACAACAUCAUCGUCUCUGCAGAGUCGUAAGCAUAUUUACAUGAGAAUAUCCGUCUACAGUUACACUCAGAAGCGUUUUGGGGUUUUAGCGGCGAGGUCUCUUUGUUCUCAUGUAGCUUAGCGAUGGCCUGCUCUUCCCUUCUCAGAUCUGCCGCCACUUCCGCCGCCGCUCCUCGUGUCGAGCUUCACACAUCUCCGUCGUACGGCCAUUCUCAGGUCACGUCAAGUCUUGGAUUUAGUCGCAACCUGACCUCGUCCAGAUUCUCCGGUGCUGCGGUUUCAACAGGGUCAUCUUCAUCUUUACAAAUAUGCAAUGCGCGAAGUGUUCAACCUAUCAAGGCGACAGCUACAGAAGCGCCUCCUACUGUCUACAGGUCAAGGAGCAGUGGAAAGACUAAGGUCGGGAUCAAUGGUUUUGGUCGGAUUGGAAGGUUGGUCCUUCGUAUCGCAACUUUCAGAGAUGAUAUUGAGGUUGUAGCAGUCAACGACCCAUUCAUAGACGCCAAGUACAUGGCAUACAUGUUCAAGUAUGAUUCUACUCAUGGAAAUUACAAAGGAACCAUCAAUGUAAUUGACGAUUCCACUUUGGAGAUCAAUGGAAAAGAAGUCAAAGUUGUCAGCAAGAGAGACCCAGCUGAGAUCCCUUGGGCUGAUCUUGGAGCUGAUUAUGUGGUUGAAUCUUCCGGAGUAUUCACCACCCUUGCAAAAGCUUCGUCACAUUUGAAGGGUGGCGCCAAGAAAGUCAUCAUUUCUGCCCCUUCAGCGGACGCACCAAUGUUUGUUGUUGGAGUAAAUGAGAGGACAUACAGACCUAACAUGGAUAUUGUCUCGAAUGCAAGCUGUACCACCAAUUGUCUUGCACCUCUUGCUAAGGUGGUGCAUGAGGAAUUUGGAAUUCUUGAAGGCUUGAUGACAACAGUUCAUGCGACCACAGCAACUCAGAAAACUGUGGACGGCCCAUCAAUGAAGGACUGGAGAGGAGGCCGAGGUGCCAGUCAAAACAUCAUUCCUAGCUCAACCGGCGCUGCAAAGGCUGUUGGUAAGGUUCUUCCAGAACUCAAUGGAAAACUAACGGGAAUGGCUUUCCGUGUUCCAACACCAAAUGUUUCUGUUGUGGAUUUAACUUGUCGACUUGAGAAGGAUGCAUCGUACGAAGAUGUCAAGGCAGCCAUCAAGUUUGCUUCAGAAGGACCACUUAGGGGAAUUAUGGGGUACACAGAAGAAGAUGUCGUCUCCAGCGAUUUUGUCGGAGAUUCAAGGUCAAGUAUCUUUGAUGCUAAUGCUGGGAUUGGAUUAAGCAAGUCCUUCAUGAAGCUUGUCUCCUGGUAUGACAACGAAUGGGGUUACAGCAACCGAGUCCUUGACCUGAUAGAGCAUAUGGCGUUAGUUUCAGCCAUCCGCUAAAACCAUGGCAGUUUCUUGCAGAAGCCAGAGAUUUUAUCCAUGCUCUAUGCAUUAGGAUGUUACAUGAAAGAAAACGCACUCGGAGAAAAUGGAGGAAAAGGUAUAAGGGGACAAAAGCUUUUUUGCAAUCGUGGAAAUCCACUUUGAUCUCAACCAAAUGUGGCACUGCAUAAUUAAUCAUUUUAGUCUCUAUCAACAUAAUUCUAAAGUUUCUUUAAUUUACGCUACCAGGUUUGAUUUUUUUCUAUUAGAUGAAGGAACUUGCGAACGUGUAAUGUAAAAGCAUUAGGGACUCAUUGUUGUUUUGGUCCGGUUCUUUGGACCACGUC